UUGGAGGGCAAGUCUGGUGCCAGCAGCCGCGGUAAUUCCAGCUCCAAUAGCGCAUAUUAAAGUUGUUGCAGUUAAAAAGCUCGUAGUUGAAUUUCGGGGUUAGUAGGUUGGUCAUGCCUCUGGUAUGUACUGGUCUCACUGAUUCCUCCUUCCUGAUGAACCGUAAUGCCAUUAAUUUGGUGUUGCGGGGAAUUUGGACUGUUACUUUGAAAAAAUUAGAGUGUUAAAAGCAAGCUAACGCUUGAAUACAUUAGCAUGGAAUAAUGAAAUAGGACGUUCGAUCCUAUUUUGUUGGUUUCUAGGAUUGACGUAAUGAUUAAUAGGGAUAGUUGGGGGCAUUAGUAUUCAAUUGUCAGAGGUGAAAUUCUUGGAUUUAUUGAAGACUAACUACUGCGAAAGCAUUUGCCAAGGAUGUUUUCAUUAAUCAAGAACGAAAGUUAGGGGAUCGAAGACGAUCAGAUACCGUCGUAGUCUUAACCAUAAACCAUGCCGACUAGGGAUCGGAUGAUGUUAAUUUUUUAAUGACUCAUUCGGCGCCUUACGGGAAACCAAAGUGUUUGGGU
rnacentral:rRNA from 1 species